rnacentral:tRNA from 1 species
GGGGUUGUGGCUCAGUGAAAGAGCAUGCGCCUUGCACGUGUGAGACAGUGGGUUCGAUCCUCAGCACCUCA